GAGUUCGUUAAAAAGGAGAUACGGUUGGCAUCUCCCCUGACAGGGACAUGAACGGCUUUCGAACUUACCUACUACCAUAAAUCUGGUUAAUGCUACCCACCUUGAUGGAUCUUACCAAAAAAGGAU